rnacentral:lncRNA from 1 species
GACGGGAAGGAACUAACAUAUUCAAGCUUACUUCUGGCUGUGUCACUGACCCAACAGAGGCCAGUAGGUCCAGCAUGGCAAGCAUGGCUCCAGGAUGAAUGAUGACUGCAUCAGAACUCUGCAGAGAUGAAGUUGUCACAUGUAGUUUCAGGUCUGAGAAGCAGCCAAGAAAUCGAACAGCAUCUGCCAACUUCUCAUACUGAAUCUCUGUUUUGAAGAAAUGAGAGUUGGCUGGCUCAUAGCGCAUUGCUGCAGUCAACGUGCAGAACACAGUGUGAAGAAGUUCAAACACUUGAUUCUGGUUCACUUUCUCCCAGCCAUUCUUGGGUGGACAGCUCAAAGAUCUUUCCAUAGCAACGAGCAAGGAUGUAAUGUACACAAAUCCUCCAACUUUCCUAAAAACUGUUCUUGAACGAUGGCUUUCUCGAAGGACCGACAGGAGGGCCUACAGGAGACAAAAGAAAAAACAAAUGAAAAUACACAUAAUUCAAAA